rnacentral:lncRNA from 1 species
UUUUAUUAUAUUAUUAAUAAGAAAAAGAGAGAUUAGGAAAGGGAGGUAAGUGGUAAUAAUGUGAUUAGCAGCGGGGGCGGAGGAGCCAGUAAUGCAGCCGAGGUUCGCGGUUACUCCUUGACCUUCAAAACUGACAUUUCCUACUCACUCACACGUGCGAGGACAGUCCCCUACUCACUUGUUUUUUUUUGUUUUUUUAUUCUUUGUCCGUAUAAAAUAAAUCGUGAAUACAACUGUUUUACUCAAAAAAAAAAAAAAUACAGUAACUUAUUUGUGGAAUCUACUAGUAGUAACUGUUAACCAAGAAAACAAUAAAUGUUAUAAAGAUGACAAAAAUAGUACUCAUUACAAGAGCUAAUUAAAAUAAAAAAAUAAAAAAACUCUCAAAAUUAAUCGAAAAGAAAAGGCAGGG